GUGCCAGCAGCCGCGGUAAUACGUAGGUGGCGAGCGUUAUCCGGAAUUACUGGGCGUAAAGCGCACGUAGGCGGUCAUUUAAGUCUGACGUGAAAGCUCCUGGCUUAACUGGGAGAGGACGUUGGAGACUGGGUGACUUGAGGCGAUGAGAGGGGCGUAGAAUUCCCGGUGUAGUGGUGGAAUGCGUAGAUAUCGGGAGGAAUACCAGUGGCGAAAGCGGCGUCCUAGCAUUGGCCUGACGUUCAUGUGCGAAAGCGUGGGGAGCGAACGGGAUUAGAUACCCCGGUAGUCCACGCGGUAAACGAUGAACACUAGGUGUGGGGAGUGUUAAAACUGUCCGUGCCGAAGCCAACGCGUUAAGUGUUCCGCCUGGGGAGUACGGCCGCAAGGCUAAA
rnacentral:rRNA from 1 species